rnacentral:rRNA from 1 species
AGAGUUUGAUCAUGGCUCAGAACGAACGCUGGCGGCAUGCCUAACACAUGCAAGUCGAACGAAGCCUUCGGGCUUAGUGGCGCACGGGUGCGUAACGCGUGGGAAUCUGCCCUUGGGUUCGGAAUAACAGUUAGAAAUGACUGCUAAUACCGGAUGAUGACUUCGGUCCAAAGAUUUAUCGCCCAGGGAUGAGCCCGCGUAGGAUUAGCUUGUUGGUGAGGUAAAGGCUCACCAAGGCGACGAUCCUUAGCUGGUCUGAGAGGAUGAUCAGCCACACUGGGACUGAGACACGGCCCAGACUCCUACGGGAGGCAGCAGUGGGGAAUAUUGGACAAUGGGCGAAAGCCUGAUCCAGCAAUGCCGCGUGAGUGAUGAAGGCCUUAGGGUUGUAAAGCUCUUUUACCCGGGAUGAUAAUGACAGUACCGGGAGAAUAAGCCCCGGCUAACUCCGUG